rnacentral:rRNA from 1 species
GACGAACGCUGGCGGCGUGCUUAACACAUGCAAGUCGAACGGAAAGGCCUGCUUUCCCUUGUGGAUUGCGGGUACUCGAGUGGCGAACGGGUGAGUAACACGUGAGUGAUCUGCCCCCAACUUGGGUAUAAGCCUGGGAAACUGGGUCUAAUUCCCGAUAGGACUGCAGGGUGGUGCCUGUGGUGGAAAACGAUUUUCUAGUGGUUGGGGAUGAGCUCGCGGCCUAUCAGCUUGUUGGUGGGGUAAUGGCCUACCAAGGCGGCGACGGGUAGCCGGCCUGGGAGGGUGGACGGCCACAUUGGGACUGGGAUACGGCCCAGACUCCUACGGGAGGCAGCAGUGGGGAAUAUUGCACACUGGGCGGAAGCCUGAUGCAGCGACGCCGCGGGGGGGAUGCCGGCCUUCGGGUGGUAAACUCCUUUCGACCGCGAGGAAGCCACCUGGUUGGAAGGGUGGUGACGGUAGUGGUAGAAGAAGCACCGGCUAACUACGUG